rnacentral:piRNA from 1 species
UGAAUCAAUAGCUCAGUCUCC